CAAACCUUUGACCUCAAAUUCGGGUGAGACUACCCGCUGAACUUAAGCAUAUCAAUAAGCGGAGGAAAAGAAACUAACAAGGAUUCCCCCUAGUAACUGCGAGUGAAGCGGGAAAAGCUCAAAUUUAAAAUCUGGUGGUCUUUGGCCAUCCGAGUUGUAAUUUAGAGAAGCGUCUUCCGCGCUGGACCGUGCAUAAGUCUCCUGGAAUGGAGCGUCAUAGAGGGUGAGAAUCCCGUCUUUGGCACGGACACCCAGGGCUUCUGUGAGGCGCUCUCGAAGAGUCGAGUUGUUUGGGAAUGCAGCUCAAAAUGGGUGGUGAACUCCAUCUAAAGCUAAAUAUUGGUGAGAGACCGAUAGCGAACAAGUACCGUGAGGGAAAGAUGAAAAGCACUUUGGAAAGAGAGUGAAACAGUACGUGAAAUUGUUGAAAGGGAAACGCUUAAAGUCAGUCGCGUUGACCGAGACUCAGCCUUGCCUUGGCUUGGUGUACUUCUCGGCUGACGGGCCAGCAUCAAUUUUGAUCCUUGGAUAAUGGCAGGAGAAAGGUGGCACCUUUAUAGGUGUGUUAUAGUCUCCCGUCGGAUACAAGGGUUGGGAUUGAGGAACUCAGCACGCACCUCUUGGUGUCGGGGCCUCGGCUCACGUUACGUGCUUAGGAUGUUGGCGUAAUGGCUUUAAACGACCCGUCU
rnacentral:rRNA from 1 species